ACAAAAUACAUGCUAUAAUUAAAAAGCAUUUAUUGUCAACAUUCCAACUUCAACUAAACAAAGGCGAGAUAUAUAAGAUAUCAAAUUUUUUUGUUGGUAAAAGUAGUGGGGAAUACAAGCCUACUAAUCAUGCAUACAAGAUAAAUUUUCAACGUUCUACUAGCGUUAUUGCCUUUGCUGGAGCGAACAUAAAUGCAUAUGGUUUCGAAUUGGUGCCCUUUGAUGCAAUUCUUUCAAAUAAUUUGGAUAGCAACUGUUUAGUGGGUAUGAUAUAAUUUCUUUAAAAAGAAUUUUAAUGUAUAGUGUGAUCAUUAUUUUUUUUUCUUUUUGUUUUUUUUGUUGGAAUAUGUUCUAACAAAAUUUUUAAAAUAUGUUCUUCGUAUAAUAGAUGUCAUUGGCUAUAUUUCUGGAAUUUUAAGUACUUAUGAUUAUUCAAAGGAUGGCAAAAGAACGAAGGUGACCACUAUCCAAUUAAAAGACCUGUAAAAUAAUAUUUUAAGAUGCACUUUAUGGAAUCGAUAUGCUGAUCAAUUACAAGAUUAUUUAUCUAAGCAUCCAGGCCGUCAAGUUAUCAUCUUAUUACGGUUUGUAAAAAUCAAGACUUGGCAAGGUACUACCAUGCUAUCAACUUCCCUAUUUGCGACUAAACUCUAUUUAAAUUCUGAUAUUCAUGAGCUGAAUGAGUUUAAGAAUAGAUUUGAUAAGGGUGGAAAGACUUCUUCGGAAUUGGUGAUUGACAUAAGUAGUUAUAUCUCACAAAAAAAUGAGAGUGACUUUUUAAACAAAUCUGAAAGAAAAACAGUUGAUGAGAUCCGUUACACACAAGAGGCAAGUGCUUACUACUACUAUUUUAUUUUACAAUCAU